UGUGUGGUGUCCCUCAGUUCACUGACAUCAGCCAGGGGAGUACUAGAGUCUCUGUAACUGAAGAAGCGCUGUGUCAUUGUUUUGCAGUGUCAGUGCACACACAUCAUUACACUGACCACAUGGGAACAGAUGACUUUAAGACUGACUUGUAAAGAAGAAUUUAAAGUGGAACUAUGCUGUGACUGCUGUUCUCUGCUCUGUGCAAUGCCGCUGAGUGGAUAGCUUCUUGCUGUGGCUCCUCAAAGAAGGACAGGGUAGCAGCAGGCAACCCAGGAUGACAAAACCAGUGUAAAGGGCAGAAGGUGUGGACUGUCUCUAGGGAUGAAGCAGCAUCCGGUCAAAAUCCUCCCUAAUUUCUCUGGACAGAAAAGAUGCCCACAUUUCCCCUCCACCUUAUUAAUCUCUGAAGUGUAUUUACUUGCAGUACAAUGAUCUGGGUUGCUCUGUACUUGUUAUAAUGAUGACUUGUCCGAAAACUCCUUGUUGGGAAGUUGGAUGAUGUUUGACAGCAGACAAGUGCUGCAGUGGCUCAGAAGUGGCUUACAUCUGCUGUAUGUAAAAACAUGUAUAUGGUAGACAUGCAGUGUGGUACAGCAAAUGAAUCAAAUGAAUCAAUACAUUGUUGUUAAGAUCAGGUCUGUCAUUAAAGUGUGCUUUCCCUGUUUCUCCAGGAGAGGCCCACUUUUCUCUAAUGAGACUCGCUUUUUGUGAUUACCUGGCGCCAUCAUGUGGAAGACUAAAUAACUCAAAUUACCCGUUGACUGAAGAAAGACAGAACACUGGUUUAUAACACUAGUUAUCACUAAGAUGAAAACAAUGUUAUUAUUCAUUAUAAUUAAAAAAAUAAAUGAGAAUGUUUCAAAUGUUUUAAUCACUAAUCACAUUUAGGAACGUUACUAAAGAUGAUCAGCAUUCACAACUUAAUGCAAAUAAAGUAAAAAAAUAAUAAUAAAAUAAAAACCCAUUUUAAUAAAACCACCUCUUUGACAUUCAUAAAAUACUAUCAGUUUUGUUAUCUACCAACUGUUUAUGGCCACUUUAAUGUGCAUUAACGUGUUUUAAUAAAGAUAGAAGAGAAUACAGCAGAACUUAUGUUAACAAAGG